rnacentral:rRNA from 1 species
AAAAAGCUCGUAGCCGACUCUCGGGGCUGUUGGAACGGUCCGCAGAAAUGUGAGCACUGUUUCAGCCGCCUCUUCCUUCUGGAUUUCAUGUCUUCUCUUCACUGAGCGGAUGUGAGGGCCAGAUCGUUCACUUUGAACAAAUUAGAGUGUUCAAAGCAGGCCUCCGCCUGAAUACUUGAGCAUGGAAUGAUAUCAAUAGGUUCUUCCUUCUCGUUUAUUGGUGAUGAGAAGGAAGAAAAUGAGAAAGGGGAAUGGUUGGGGCCAUUCGUACUGCAGCGUUAGAGGUGAAAUUCUUGGAUCGCUGCAAGACGAACAACAGCGAAAGCAUUUGGCAAGAACGUUUCCACCGGUCAAGAACGAAAGUUAAGGGAUCGAAGACGAUCAGAUACCGUCGUAGUCUUAACCAUAAACUAUGCCGACUAGAGAUCGGUGGAUGUUAUUUUAUGACUCCAUCAGCAUCUUAUGAGAAAUCAAAGUCUUUGGGUUCCGGGGGGAGUAUGGUCGCAAGGCUGAAACUUAAAGGAAUUGACGGAAGGGCACCACCAGGCGUGGAGCCUGCGGCCUUAAUUUGACUCAACACGGGG